GACAGAGGUGGCGAGCGUUGUUCGGAAUUACUGGGCUUAAAGGGCGAGUAGGCGGUAAGGCAAGUCUGAGGUGGAAGCCUAUGGCUUAACCAUAGAACGGCCUCGGAAACUGUUUUACUUGAGUCAGUGAGGGGAGGGCGGAAUUCCUGGUGUAGCGGUGAAAUGCGUAGAUAUCAGGAGGAAGGCCUGUGGCGAAGGCGGCCCUCUGGCGCUGAACUGACGCUGAGGCGCGAAAGCGUGGGGAG
rnacentral:rRNA from 1 species